rnacentral:rRNA from 1 species
UACGUAGGGUGCAAGCGUUGUCCGGAAUUAUUGGGCGUAAAGAGCUCGUAGGCGGUUUGUCGCGUCUGCCGUGAAAACCCGAGGCUUAACCUCGGGCCUGCGGUGGAUACGGGCAGACUAGAGGUAGGUAGGGGAGAAUGGAAUUCCCGGUGUAGCGGUGAAAUGCGCAGAUAUCGGGAGGAACACCGGUGGCGAAGGCGGUUCUCUGGGCCUUACCUGACGCUGAGGAGCGAAAGCGUGGGGAGCGAACAGG